UACGUAGGGCGCAAGCGUUAUCCGGAAUUAUUGGGCGUAAAGAGCUCGUAGGCGGUUUGUCGCGUCUGCCGUGAAAGUCCGGGGCUCAACUCCGGAUCUGCGGUGGGUACGGGCAGACUAGAGUGAUGUAGGGGAGACUGGAAUUCCUGGUGUAGCGGUGAAAUGCGCAGAUAUCUGGAGGAACACCGGUGGCGAAGGCGGGUCUCUGGGCAGUAACUGACGCUGAGGAGCGAAAGCGUGGGGAGCGAACAGG
rnacentral:rRNA from 1 species